rnacentral:rRNA from 1 species
AAGCGGAGGAAAAGAAACCAACAGGGAUUACCUCAGUAACGGCGAGUGAAGCGGUAAAAGCUCAAAUUUGAAAUCUGGCUCUUUUAGAGUCCGAGUUGUAAUUUGUAGAAGAUGCUUCGGGUGUGGUCCCGGUCUAAGUUCCUUGGAACAGGACGUCAUAGAGGGUGAGAAUCCCGUAUGUGACUGGGUACCUACGCUCAUGUGAAGCUCUUUCGACGAGUCGAGUUGUUUGGGAAUGCAGCUCAAAAUGGGUGGUAUAUUUCAUCUAAAGCUAAAUAUUGGCCAGAGACCGAUAGCGCACAAGUAGAGUGAUCGAAAGAUGAAAAGCACUUUGGAAAGAGAGUUAAACAGUACGUGAAAUUGUUGAAAGGGAAGCGCUUGCAAUCAGACUUGCACCUGGUGUUCAUCAGGACUUUGUGUCCUGUGUACUUCAUCAGGUUCAGGCCAGCAUCGGUUUGGGUGGUUAGAUAAAGGCCUUGAGAAUGUGGCCCUCUUCGGGGGGUGUUAUAGCUCUCGGUGCAAUGUAGCCUACCUGGACCGAGGACCGCGCUUCGGCUAGGAUGCUGGCGUAAUGGUUGUAAGCGACCCGUCUUGAAACACGGACCAAGGAGUGUACCAAUUAUGCGAGUGUUUGGGUGUUAAACCCAUACGCGUAAUGAAAGUGAACGGAGGUGAGAACCCUUUAGGGUGCAUCAUCGACCGAUCCUGAUGUCUUCGGAUGGAUUUGAGUAAGAGCAUAAUUGGUGCGACCCGAAAGAUGUGUGAACUAUACGUGAAUAGGGUGAAGCCAGAGGAAACUCUGGUGGAGGCUCGCAGCGGUUCUGACGUGCAAAUCGAUCGUCAAAUUUGCGUAUAGGGGCGAAAGACU